UCAAUAGAAUUUGUAGGUUCAGUCACAUGAUUGGCCGGGAAACUGUCAAUCACAGUUCACCAAUCUAGUGGUUUAUCUAUGGCAGCAUUUCAAAAGCGCCCUCCUAUCGACCAGUAACGCUGGCGCUCAGUUCCUGAAAAGAGCGAUGGCAAUGUCAGUUCAAGCGAUCACAAUCUGUCUCACCCUGUUGCUCGCUCAAUGGAUUCAGUGGAUUCGAGCUGCGCCGACUGUAGUCCAGUCUUCAGCAGGGGCCACGAUUCCACACGGACAUCCUGCCACUUUGACCUGUAGUGUGAAGGGAGAGAGCAUGAGCAGCUAUACUAUGCAAUGGUACCGCCAACAAGGGACAGCAAUAGAAUGGUUGUGCAAUGAAUAUAAAAGCUGUGCGCCAGAUUUGAAUAAUAAAUUGGAAGUGCAACACGACUCUUCAAAUAACCGGUUUAUCCUGAAGCUGAAGAAGGCACAGUCGGUAGACUCUGCAAUCUACUACUGUGUAGCUAGUACGGCACAGAAACACAACCUAACCACAGACUGA